AACAGCUUCUGAAAAGUGAACAAAAACACAGAUGAGAAAAUGGUACUAACUAAGGCCUAUUGCAUAAUAUUAAUAAAAAAGAUACAAAUUCAUAUUAUUGACAAGUAACUUAAUUAAGAUGACAGAAAAAGAGUAGAAAUUGUAGAAAGUCCUGUAGACUAAAUGUCAUAAAAACAUUAAGGCAUGUUUUGAAUUUUGACAGAAGUAAGAGUCACGCUAUUAACCUCUGAUGCAGCAGAAGUGACUGAGGUGUUUAACUAAAUAAGGAGACCAGUUAGCAGUAAGCGUGCCAGUGAAGUAAGGAGGUGGUUAGCAGAAAAGCAUGAAGCCACUGUGCCUGGAUUGCCCACCUCUGCCAUCUGCAGUCAUGAAAGGGAAGAACACAUUCAUAGCUGUUUCACAUAUACACAAUAGCAAACACCUGAAGCAGGCUAGUUAUCCCAGUUCCGAGUUGGUUACAGAAUAUAAAAGGUGAUUUUUCUCAAAAACAUAAAACAUAUGUGAAUGAAAAUACCAGAAAUAAAUUGUGACAUUCUGUGCUUUUGUGUCAUACAUGGAUGACAAAUAUGCCAGUUUUGAUUUCAUUGUUCUUGUACUUUAGAAGCAUCUUUAUUUUUAUGCUUACUAAAACCAAUUAGACCCAUUGUACUCUUCUAUUUUAUAUCAGCUAGGCAGUGACUGCUGCAAGUCUGAAGUUUUACCUAAGCCCUGGUUAGAGAUGGCUGUAGAAUACCAUUUGAAUGCAGCCUGAUCUGCUUGGUAAAUGCAACUACAGAAGCUCAUCUUAUAAACUCAUAUUCUUCUGUAAUGACAAGCCAAAGCUAAACUACAAUGAAAACAAAAACAAACAUGCUUUGAAAAAAUGGUUUGCUACAGAUAGAAGUGCUCCAUAAUAUUUUGCAGACCAUCAAUAUAGUGUAUACAGUAGUUGGUUAAGCUGCUAUGUGAAAAGAUGUCAGUAAAGUCCCCUGUAAAUAAAAUUAUUUUUUAUGUAUUUUUUAUACGUCUUUUUCUUUAUCUUAUACAUAUGUAUGCUACUAUUUAUUGACAUCAUAGAAUUAAAGAUUUUCUUUAGCCUAACCUAAAAUGUGGCAUAGGUUGAAUCAUGUGAUAUGUUGUGAUGUGUAACUUUCCACAGUCUACAGGAUGAUUUACUACUUUUUAGCUGUCUUUCAUAUCUUUGUCUGUAUAGGCUUAGAAAUGUAUUUCUCUUGUCAGAGUGGCUUAAGUAGCAUGGAGUGUUCACUUUCCUAUCACCUAUAGAUCUUCUACUUCAUAUCUUCUCAAUUCUCUUUGGGGUUGAUGUGCCUAAUUGACCCUCUUUAUACAGCUUUUUCCUUCAACUCCUCCCAGGUCAGAUACUUUUCCUUCAUAUCAUCUUUUAGUUUAUCCGUGCACCUCUGCUUUGGCCUCCCCCACUUUUUCUUUCCAUGUACUUCCACUCCAGUCACUCUUUUACCCACAUAUCACAUGUCCAUAUGUCUUCAGCUAACUUUCCUGUACUUUCUUAGAUAACUUUCUUGCUUUUGUUGUACCUCUGAUCAUCUCAUUUCUUAUUCUGACCUUGUUUGUUCCUCUACACAUCCAUCUCAACAUUUGAGAUUAUGUCACAUCCAGCUUCUUCUCCUGCGUCUCCAUUUACAUCCCGUGUCUUAGCUCCAUCCAUCAUUGCUAGUCUUAUCACUGUCAUGAACAAAUUACCUUUAACCUUCGCCAUAAUUCUUCGAUCACACAAUAUUCCUGAUGUCUUCUUCCAGUUGUUCCUUCCACACUGCACUCUGUGGGGUUUCUCUUCAUGCAGGCUGCCACUGGUCCUAGGAAUAGCAUAGUUAGACAGCUUAUCCAUUAGCUAAACAAAUGAGCUUGAUGGACUGAAUGGUCUCCUCUCAUUUGUCAUAUUUCCUACGUUCUAUCUAUCUAAACUUACCUACUCAUUUCAAUAGCUCUUCCUACAGACUAACUUAUGAAUCCUGAUCAUCAUUAAAUCUCAAUAUUCUGUCUUCUUCCUAUUUAUCUCCAAUCCUCUAUCAUCCAAAGCUUUUCUCUAUUCUUCCAUCUUCCUCUCCACUUCCACCUUUCUGGACGGAAUGGAUGAACACAACAUGUCAUCAGAAAAAAGUAUACAUCACGGGGACUGAUUUUUUUUUAGAUUGGUUGAAUAUAUACUGUAUGUACAGUGUAUGUAUUGAACCCUUUGCAGAGUGACUUCAGAAUAUUUAUUUAAGAGAAACAUAAGUAUGUACAGAACUUCAGUAUAGCAGUAAGCUGAGUUGUAGCAUAGAAUAUGCCCUGGCACAUCACUGCUUUUCAGUUAUGUUUCAGCAGUGAACCUACAAGCAUGCAGCCACAGUUUGAUUGUGAAAGUGAUUAACAAAUUAGAUUGUACCAUCCUAAUUAGGCAACCUGAAUUGGAAAAAUUUUAGGUUAGCCCGCUUUUAAAAUGUUAGUACAAAUGAGAAAACAUAUGUAAACAGUUUCCUGUCCUGUACAGUGAAAUGAAAUAUUACAGUACGUGAAACAGUGAUAAAAAUGCAGAAAGAGUUUUUUUUUUUUUUUAGUUUCAGAUUUAUCAUUGAAUGUUCUUGUACCAGUAACAAAAUGCCUACAGUAAAUGGUAAGUGUCCAUUUUUGAAAGGUUUACAUGCAUAAUAUUAGCAUGUUAAUCUAGUUGCACUGUAAUGUAAAGAAUAAUAUUUUGGAUUAGUUGGUUUUGAUAUCAGGUAGAAAGGUGCAUUUGUUUUUUAGCAGUCCUGUCCUCUCCAGAUGCAUAUGGUUUAUAGUAUACAAAAACAGAAAGCUCUGUAACAUACUGUAGCUGCUGGAAAAUUGUAGUUGAACAGCGCAUACAUUAGAUAAACCACAAUCAUUUCUCUCACUUUUUGACUGUAUCAUCAAAAAAGAAUGAAAGUACUUUCCAUUUUACAAUCUACAUGCUGCACAUUAUUCAUCAGCAUUCCAAGUCAUUAAUUUACAAUCCUGUUUAUGCAUUAGGACUUGUGUAUUUUAUUAAAUAUUAUUUUGAUAUUUAUAUAUGGAUAUUUUUAAUUGCUUACAUGUUUACACUGUCCACUUACUGUACAUUUAAGUCUGUUCAGCUGCUUGUGUAAAUGAAAAGAUCCACAUCAGAUCUAAAGUGUUAAAUGGGGUUAAGCUUUGAAAAUUGCUUUAUAAUUUUGCUUAACAUUUGAAAGACAGUUAGCGAUUGCAAAGGUUCACCGUUAGUUGCAGCUCACUUGAAGGUAUCUGCAUAAUGUAAAAUGAUAAACACGCUAAAAUACAAAUAUAAAGAAGAGGGGAAAUUCAUUUUUGAAUUUUCAUGUGUGCUUUUUGUUAGUGUGUUAGCUCCCACAAUUAGUGUGCAUCUUGCUGACAUAAGGUUUGCUUGACUAGCUUAGCACUUGUUAAAAAUGUGGAGAUGAACAUAUCCUGUAGCUAAGUUUCAUUUUCAUAAAGGUUUACUUAAGUGAGUGAAUUGAGUAUGGGUACUGUUUGUUUGUUUAAUCAGUAAAAACAUGUCUUUGUCAUCUGCUUUUUUUAAGUUUUCUGGGCCCCUAUCUUGCUUACAUUUUUAUUCAUAUAUCCUUAUCUAAGUCAUGGUGGAUUUUUUGGGACUCAUACUAUUUCAGAAUCACAUUAUUUAGAAGGUCAGUAUGUAAUUCAAUCUGAUAUGUGUUGAUGUGUUGUUACGAAGUAAAGAUUAAGUUAAUUUAGUCAUGCUUGACUUGUUUUGUGAUGAACACACAAAUACAAAUUUUGGUUGUAAUUAAACUUUUUUCUUUUUUUGCAGGUUUUAGUCAAACAGAGUUUACAUCUGAAAUCUGUUAGUUGGUGACGUCUUGAUUCCUUUGUUGUUUGUGUGGUCAGUCUGUCAUAUACAUCUGGCAUAGUCUAUAAUUCUCAGAAUAUUGUGGUUAUUUGACUAAUACUUAAAGGAAUACUUUAUCUAAAAAUGAUCAUUUUUGAAAUGUUACUUGUCCCAUGUAGCUUGUAGUGGUGGCCCAAAAAACGUCUUAGUACAUGGUUUUUGUUAAGAAAUUACAUUUUGAAUAUUCACACUCAACAAGGCCCGGGGGUGAUGGAAUUCUGGACAUUGACAAACAAAAUGAAAACGGUCCAUAGAAAAAAGAGAACAAUUCUCAUUUAACUCUUAUUGCUUAAUAUUAUUAAGAGUUAACUUCCUGGAAAGGCAACAUUAAUAGUAAACAGGAAAGAUGUCAUUGAAUUAAAGACAAAUUCUUGACUAGUGAAUGAUGAGGAGAAGCAUAUCUUUAAUUCUUUCACACAGCAUUGUGGGAAUGACAUGUUUCCUUUCCAGUUUCCUAUGAAUGCCACCUUUCCAGUGAGUAACUGUUAAUAAUAUUUUAGCAAGAAAUGCACACAAAAAAUACGAAUUUAUAUUAGACAUGUGCAUUAUGCAAUACGUGUAACAUGAGAAUUGCUUUUCUUUUCUUCCAUGGACAUUUUUCACAUUGUUUGCCAUUGUCCAGAACUGAUUAGUACAGGGCCCUGUUGAGUGUAAAUAUUCAACAUUCUCCACAAAAACAUGAAAUGAAAUUUUUUUCUCAGCCACCACUACAGAUUACAUAUGGAGUAAGUAAUAUUAAAAAAAAAACAUUUUUUGGUGGCUUGUUUUUCAUGUUUUUUCCACUGUUAAGUUUUAGAGGAGCAUAUAUAACACUAAUUGUAGUAUCCCUGUCACCUUGUGAGUUUUCCGUGUACUUCCUCAAAGAUGUGCAGAUUAGGUUAAUUGGCGAUUCUGGUGAUGUGGAAGUACUUACUCAUUUGGAAGCUGUAGAGGAAGAAGUGCUGCUACUUAGUGAUUUGGAAGUCAUAGAGGGUAAAGGGUUGCUUAGAUUAAAUAGGCUGAAAUUUAACAAAUGACCACAACAUGUAUGCCAGAGAGCGUAAGAAGGUUAGUAAGUACUUAUAUAAAUCCUUGAUGCUUAUUUUUCAGAAAUCACUGCACACUGUUGAAAUUUCAAAGGAGUGGAAGCUGACAAAUGUUAUCCCAUUGUAUGAAAAGGUGAUUUGACUAAUCCAAGUAACUAUAGGCCAGUAAGCGUAAUAUGCAUCACAGGUAAAUUAAUGGAAAUAACUGUUAAGGAAAAGAUUGAGUAUCACAUGGCAAAAAUUGGUCUAUUGGUAAAAUGCACUGGUUCAGAUGGAGCGGUCGUGUAUCUGUAAUAUGCUGGAAUUGUAUGGGGAAGCAAGAGAACCAUACAAUCAGAGGGGUGCAUAUGAUAUAAUUUAUCUGUUUUUUCAGAAAACUUUUGAUGAAGUACAACUUGUGAGGUUAGUCAUUAAACUAAACAAAGUAGUGGUUCAGGGCACAGUGUGUAGAUGUGUAUAGGUAUGAGGUCAAUCGGCUUAUGCAUAAAGGGUUUUGGUGAGAGGAGCUUUUUCAGACCAGGUGAUAUUUAAAAGUGUUUUCCUCAAGGAUCAUUGCUGGGCUGCUGUUCUUUCUGAUAAAUGUUAAGAAUAUAAAAAAACAAGCUAGUUGAGCUUUCCUAACAUCCCAAUCUAGGGGGAUUGGCAGAGAAUGUAUAAUCAGACUAAUUGUUACAGAGUGAACUUGACCGCAUACAGGCUUGGGUAGAUCUGUGGCAGAUGAAGUUUUAGUGUAAGUACAUCUAUGCUGUUACACAUUGGAAGUAGAAAUGUUAGGUUUGAAUGUGCAAUGGGAGGGUUUAUAAGCUGAAAUUAUCCCUUAUAAAAUGGAUCACACAGUGGUAGUGGACUGGUCUUUGCUUACAUCCAGACUGUGUACAGAACCCAUUAAAGAAGACUAACAGCAUGUUGCAUUAUGUAGUGCCCUGAUGUGUGGAGUACAAAUCCAGUUAAGCUAUACAUCUACUAUUGUGGCCUCAUCUGGCGUACUAUAUGAAGUUGUCUCCAUAAUACAAAAAAGACAUAGCAGCGCGAGAGAAAGUUCAGAGAAGAACAACUAACCUGAUUCUAGGGCUGCAAGGUAUGAGUGGUGAAGAAAGAGAGAAGGAGGUGAAAGUUUUCAGUUUAAAUAAAUAGAGGUUAAGAGGUGAUGUCCAUCCAUCCAUUUUCCAACCCGCUGAAUCCGAACACAGGGUCACGGGGGUCUGCUGGAGCCAAUCCCAGCCAACACAGGGCACAAGGCAGGAACCAAUCCUGGGCAGGGUGCCAACCCACCGCAGAGAGGUGAUGUUGUUGAAGAUUUUAAAAUUAUAAAAGGACUUGGUACGGUGGAUUCCAGUUGUUACUUUAGAUUAAGCUUUUCAAUAAGAACACUGUAACACUGAUGGAAGUGUGUUAAGGGAAGAUUUCACACAAACAGAUUUUCUUCAUACAGACAAACACAGACUUAUUCUUGUCACAGAAUUAUUACAUUUUGAGAAAAGAGGAACUUUAGUGACUUUCAAAACUCAAGUCAUUGUUUUGGAAAAAUUAGAGAAAGAGGAUUGGCAAGCUUUGUUGGACUGAAUGGUGUGUUCUCAUCAAAAUUGCUCUAAUGUUCAAAUUGGCCCAGUGAGAGUGGGCCCCCAUGAUAAACUGGCAACAUAUCCAGGCUGUCUUCUGCUCAGUGGUGCCAGGAUAGACUCCAGCAGACCACCAACUGAAACUGAAUUAUAUUAGUCUGAGAUUGUCAUGUUAUGGUCUCUAUAAACAUUCCCACUUUGGUUUUAGUUAUGUCUAUAAACUUAUAUAUAGUUUGUUACUAAACUGCAAUUUUGGAUGGUAUGGCAGCUUUCAACACAGUCGAUCACAAUGUUUGCUACAUUGUCUAGAAUCUGUGUGUUAAAUGGUUGGUAUCCUAUCUGUUACACUGUGGUGAGCUUAUUGUGGUAAAUAACUUUAGAUCUGUCAUAGCAUCCCUUUGCUCUGCUGGUCUCCCAGGCUCUAUUUUGAGCCAUAUUUUUAUUUAUUGUAGUUAUUUCCUUAAGGUAAUACAGUAUUAUUAGAAAAGAAGCUCUUCAAUUUCACAUCUAUGCAGAUGUCAUUCAGCUCCACUUGGCUAUUAACAGUGACUCUGCUGUUGAUUUUUGCUACUAUCAGCUCUAAUUAAAUUCAUGCUUGGACAAGUUCUGUUUUUUGCAUUUAAAUGUGAGAACAAGUAAGGAAUUUUAUGUGUUGGAUCUUACAAAUACGUGAGAACCCUAUUUGUGAUUUAGGAAAUAAUUACAAUUAGUUCAUCUUUGCAUAACACUGAUGUUGGUUUUGUUUCUGAACUCUGAUUUAAUGCACAAAUAAAAGCUACUUGAAAGUCUUAUUUAUUUCCAUGUAAAGAAUAUUUUGUCAAUUUUCCCCCAUCCAUUUACUCUUCAUAUGUAUCUGUUUUGAUAAAUUGUAAAUGUUGGAACUAAUUUCCAGUUAGUAUUAUCUUUUAUAUAAUUGAUAAUCAAUUUAUAACUUAAAUAAAAGCAUUUUUGCAUUUUAGCAGUUAAAAAUAAAUAUCUCUUGCAAAGCAUGCUCUUGAAAUGUGCAAAUGUAAAAAUAAAUACUUCAGCACAAAAGGACAAUGUUAACUAAAUAGUUUAAUCAUUGCAGUGUUUCAUUACUUUUUUUAUAUACUUCUUAUUUUAGUCAUAUAUAUUUGUUAAAUAUGUUAUGCUUUUGAGGUUUUUUCUUUUAGUUUUGCUUUUAUUCACUUUCUGUUAAUAAAAGUUUUUCUUGUAGUUUUGCAAGUGAUCAUGAUACCUUUAAACCUGAGAGAUGCAGUGCAUCUUCAAAACCUUAAGAGUUUUUAAAUAUUCAUAAAAAAGGUAAGCGUCAAGUCUGUUUUUUGAAUUAAGAGGUUGUUUAAUUUUAAGUCUUAUGUGCCUGUCAUGUGAAUUAUGUAGGGUUGCUUUAAAACACAGCAGUUAAAUUCAUAAAGAGUGAUAUGUAUAUUAUUUGGAUUAGAAUCCAUAGCAGUUGCAGAAUAAUUCUUCCUUUAUACAAUUCAAAGUUCUCAUUUUUUGUGCUUUUAGAUUUUAAUUUUCCUACUGUUGGCAAGUUACGUGCUAAGUAAGUAUUGUGUUUUUGACUUGAAAUAAAGUUUCUUAAUGUUUGAUUAGAUUAUUUACUACUGUGUGAUUUUAAAUGUGGUAAUCUUUUUUGAUUUGUUGCUCUAACCCUAAUCCUAAUUUCUUUUACCUUGUUCUAAAUGUCUCCAAUUCUGUCUUUGCCUUAAAAGUGCUUUGAUCUUUGUUAUUUUGCAUCUUCUCUAGGACUUCAGGUUAUUCUUCAAAAUUCAAGACAUAUAUUUCUUCUAGUUGCCUCAUGUGCAUCACUGUAGUGACACUGUGUAACCAUUUCAUUUAUAGUGUAAAUGGGAUCUGGAAAAAUGGACUUUGAUAGUCUUUGAAGAGGAUAGCAGACCUUUGCAUGCAGAGCUUGCUUUCACCAUAGAAUAAGAAUCACAGAUCAGGUCAGGUUGGGGUGCAUGCACUGGUACAGCGCAUUGCUGCAUCCACCACACGACAAAACAGCUCGGGAUCCUGGUUGGCAACCCCCAAGGCAGACAAGCGGUCCAUCCCUUCGGAAAUGACCGUCUAUCUGCUGCAGCCAGGUGGUUCAGCCAGGCCAAUGAGGAUCCUGCAAGCUGGAUCACCCUCGGGGAAUUGCUCCAAAUGGCCAUAGUGCCGUAACUGAUGCCCCCUCACAAUGCAGGUAAUGUGCCUCAUUCAGGAUUCCAUGAGCAACCACUCAUUCGAUACAAAGUCAAACCAGCAGUACCCAAGGAUUUUCCGGAGAGACACAGUACUGAAGGAGUCCAGUCUUCUUCUCAGGUCACUAGAUAGCAUACAUGUCUCGCAAGCAAGACAGGAAGCACCAGGACUCUAAAGACUUGGACUUGGUCCUUUUGCAUAGAUAUCGGGAGUGCCAUACACCCCUUUCCAGAGACCUCGUGACCCCCCCCCAUACUCUCCCAAUCCGUCUACUGACUUCAUAGGAAGAGUCACCAGAGAUAUGAAUAUUACUUUUAAUUCUGUGAUCGACUGACAACUUAUCCAGAGUUGACUCCUGCCCAGCAUCUGAUGCUACCAUCAUAGUGUAUGUAAUGUAGGCUUUGACUACUGCAACCCUGAAUUGGAUUAAUUGGGUUUCAGAAUGUUAUUUUACUAGCAGAGUUCACGUUCUUCAUGUUAGAGAAGUCCAUAGUGGUAGAUUCCUCCUGAGAUUACAUAAAAAAAAGUUUUGUGUUGAUAUGUGUCUGGCAGGAAACAUAAGCUCUACCGAUAGACCAGGUUCAAUAUGCAGAAAUGCACCAUGGAAAAGUCACUCUGUUUAUCAGUGCCUCUCACUGCAAAAUCGUUACUUUAGGAAACUGAUUUACAUUACUAAGUGUAUGGUGGUUUACAUGAUCUGUUUACUGUUAUUUUAAUUGAAAAACUUUGUUCUACUUGCCUCAGUAGCUUUCUGCAUAUGGUUAAAUUAUUAUUACUAUUUCAUAUAAAUAAAUUGAGUUAUAUCAGUGGUCAGUAAGUCAAUAAACAAAACAAGUUCAAAAACAGAAGUCAAAUUAAACAGAUGUCAGUGCCAAAAUGGAAAGAAAGAAUCAUAGCAAUCACUGGUGAACAGAAAAACAAAAUUUUAGUUUAGAAAUUUUCUAAGCACAAGGUUCUUUCAGUAAAUUCAGAUAACCCGGGACCGCCUGGGUCAAACUUUGUGUCUUCGAUAAUAGUGACAUCACCAGUGACAACACAUGGAGGGAUUCUUGGAAUUUGUCAUGGAAAUAACUGAUAUUAAAUUAUAACAUGGCAGUGCCCAGCAACAAACAAAUCACUUAAUAUAAAGUUGUGAGUAAAUUUUCAGUGUAUUAAAUACGUGACUUCCUCCAAAUUUGAUGUAAAAUUUGAAAUCCCUGAGUAUCACACAACUGGAGACAUAUAGAUUCCCUAAGGAACAAAUGCAAUACAUUUUUAAAACCUCUGAUCAUAACAAGUUCAUGUCAUGUAUACAUUUGUAAGAGCAAGCAAAUUGUUCAUAAUAAAUGUAUUAUUGGUUUAGGAAGUAUAAAACAAUAAUCCGGUGCUUUGUGCCAGUAUUUGCAUUAAUUAAGCCUGUUAAAAUUAAUGCAAUUUUUGUUUUUUAUAACACAGAGUCAUUGUUAAUGUAUUAUGUAUAUUAAAUUUGUGUGUUUUAAUUCCUUCUUUUUUUCACCCAGAACCUUUAGAACAGUUUUCUUAAAGUUGCCGUGUUUGAGCAUAUCAUGAUAUCUUCUGUGAAGAUGAUGCUUCUGGUAUCCAAAGUAAGGUCCAAGCUCUGGCACCAUGGAAUGAUCACUAAAAUGUUCACUGCAAAAGUGCUGAUGAGGCCGGCCACAGGAAGCCAAAGCUGGAUGGAAAUGGAUCAAAAUCGUUGGAUGGAUCAAAUGUGUUCAGAGGUAGUCUGGUUAUAAGGGAAAUUAUAAGUUGUGACAAAUUUAGAUUUACUCUCACAGUUUGACAGGUCUUAACAUUUAAAGCACUGUACAUGGUUAUGUAUAUGUUUACAUGAAACGUAAAGUACUUUUUUCACUAAACUGUAGCAAAUUUAGUAUGUUUGUCCUCACCACAGUUAAGUACAUUCUCUUUGAUGUGUAUAUACUGUAGUUGUACAGUCCAGAUGAAUACAAUGUUAAUUAUAUUUUCAAGCCUGACACACAUAAUGAUAUUUAGGACUAUUGCCAUAUUGGUAAGUCUUAACACUUUGUGUGAAGUUAUCUCAAGGCUUCUCAAUUAUUCCUGUUCUUAAUAUCUAAUUGCCUAUAUAUUCUAAGUAUAUAAUUGUUAGUUAGGCAGUAUGGUCUAAUGGCUAAGGCACUGUUGUACAAUCCACAAGGCUCCCUGUUUGUAACUCAUUUCAGGACCCUGAGGAAGUCACUUAAUUUGACAGUGCUACAGCUGCAAAGAUAUGGAAACAGUAUGCUCAGAUGCAAAGCUAAAACAGUAAAUACAAAUCAGUGCUUAGGAUAAAACUCAAUUUGAGUGCCUCUUGUUAAACCUGAACCUUGAAUUUUGAGAUCUAAUCUGACCAGUCAAACUGCAACUGUUUGACAAGGCUGGAAGAUAAAGAGAACUUAUGCAGCAGUCACCAGCUGACACAAAGGUGCUCAUCAUGAGGUAAUAUGGCAUUUCUUUACUUUUAUUUCAAUUGUCUUGUAGGAAAUCAGCUUCCUUCAUGUUUGCCUUUCUUGCUUGAAAAGUAUGGUGAUUGUUUUUGAUGUAAAAGUUAUUAAAAAUAUGUAGUGUAACUACCAAUUAAAAGCAUUAAAUAAAUUAAGUGUAUUUGUGUUCUUAGUCUGUUGUUUCUUUUAAAAUAAGCCCCAAGAGUCUCAUAG